UGUGUGUAGUAUGCGCGAUCAGAAGAAGAAGCCAGGAGAGAGCUCAAACCCUAGUUCAGCAAAUCCUCCAAAUCGAAGCUCAAAUCAAGCCCGAAUCGUCUGCAUGAUUACAAAUUCGUGAUCGCCUAGUCGUGAGGAUCAUAAGUUGACUCUAAACAAGCUAGGUGGGAGCUUGAAAAGGAACGGGUCAAACGGAUCAUGGAUGCGAAGAAUGUUUGUGCGGACGUGAGGGUAAAACGGCUUAUGGAAUUUACAUGGCUAUGAAUCAGCAAAUUAUUAAGGCAAGGACACUUGCGUUUAAAGAUGACAAAGGUUAAACAAAUUAAAGAUGUGAUAGAGGAACAGUCCGAGGCAUGACGAGAGGAACAUGCUCACUAAGGACUAAAUCGCGUAAAGACCGCGAACAAGGUUAAUGGCAAGAAACGCCCGUCGGGGCAAGCAUUAUCAGGUGCGUGCUUUUAAAUAUAAUCGCGCAAUUAGCAAUGUGCAACAAACAUGUAAAGAAUGAUUGUCGCAUAUGUAAAUUAGAAACUUGAGAAACCUGAAUAGAAUACCUAUCCAGGAUAUUAUCUCCAAGAAAACUAAAUAGAGGUGUUACUUACAUGGGGUGUGAUGUGAAAACUAUAAAAAGGUCGUGUAUCUCAUGUGUUAAUCGCUUACUCUGGCCAAGUAAGUAGUGGCAUAUGAUACCAUGAGUUUCUUAUAGCGGACACAUUAUAUCUGAUGUAGUAAGGACGGGGUAAAUGGGACAAAUUAAAAAGUACCCAAAAGAGUCAAGUGAGCAAAAUAUUUGAUAAUAAUGUAAACGCACAGCCGAGUGACGGAAGCGUAUUACAUUAAGAUAAUGAGCCCGAGUGAAGGGACAAAGAAACACGUAAGAUGAUCAGAAUAUGUAUUGGGAGGGGGUGUACUUACACUCGAACCCGGAAAAUGCAAACAUGUAAAAUGAUGUAGACAUGUAUUGGGAGGGGGUGUACUUACACUCGAACCCGAAGAAUAUAAACGUGUAAAAUGAUCAAGAUAUGCAUUGGGAGGUAGUGUACUUACACUCGAACUCGGAAAAUGCAAAUAUGUAAAAUGAUGUAGACAUGUAUUGGGAGGGGGUGUACUUACACUCGAACCCGGAAAAUGCAAAUAUGUAAAAUGAUGUAGACAUGUAUUGGGAGGGGGUGUGCUUACACUCAAACUCGGAAAAUGCAAACAUGUAAAAUGAUGUAGACAUGUAUUGGGAGUGGGUGUACUUACACUCGAACCCGAAGAAUAUAAACAUGUAAAAUGAUCAAGAUAUGCAUUGGGAGGUAGUGUACUUACACUCGAACCCGAAGAAUGCAAAUAAGACUCUUAACGGGCCGAUUUUGUAAAACACCAAAUUUGAGAACAAAGUAGGAAUAUAAAAGCGAAACGAAGUCAUAAUGCAUACCGUAAGGGUUGCAAUAAUAACGACUUCGGUAAAACACCCGGUUGGUGGGUAAGGAUUUAAACACAUGCGUAGACUGAGAAACAGGAACGCGCAUGGAAAGUCAAAAGACUCGGGUUUUGGGUCAUGACCAAAGGACGAUAAGAUAACGGCAAAUAGAAAUUUUGAUGAAUUACGCUCAACUAUUUUAAAGUUGAACGGGUCGAACAAAGAUUGAAGUUUGACAUUUAUAAGUGAUAGAAAUUUUCACACGAACAAGUCAAACAAAAUUUAAAAAAAAAGGAUGACUCUUGCUAAAGUAAGUAAGCACGAAUCAAAAAAAAAAAAAGUGCGAAAUAUUAGUAAACCUAUGUAAAUGAGUUAAAGGUGUUAAAAACAUUAGAAUAAAAGAACCCGGGUAAUGGGACGUAAAGAAGUAUAGGUAAGAAUCGGUUAACAAUAAGUGUAGGGCAAACCGACGUGUAAUUGACGUUAGAAGUCAAGGAGUCGGAAGGAUAAUUCGAAAGAAAACAAUGUAGCCUUAGACUACGGUCAAGGUCAAACGAAAUCCAAAAAGUAAACGUGAAUAAUUCUAAAACAUAAGAGGGGGUGCCUUAAUGCCAUAUGCAUAUAUAAAUGUAUACAUAUUUGAAUAAAGACUUGAAUAAAAGAUGAUCUACGGGAUCAUCAUAACCUGCGGGAUAUGAAUUAAAGCAAAAGGAUCAUAAGGGUCUCACCUUAAAGAGGUGAAAACAUAAGGAAAUAGCCUACGAGGUUAAGUGAAGGAACCUACGGGUCAAUAGUGUAAGGUGAGGGAAUUUGUUACGAUUCCCCGCAUAAAGUAAGAACGGAAAACAAUAAAUUAUGAGUUAUCAAUUUCCUUGAUAUGGAUAAUUGACAAAAGUUAAAAGGAAAAUGCUAAACUAAAACUCCGGUUUUUGCAAGAAAUGACGUUUUUACGAAUAUGAAUUCUGAUAGACGAAUAUGUAAUAGGCAUGAAAGAUAUAAGUCUUGACACUGAUAAGUGCAAGACGAUACAUUUGAAAAGAAAGGUUGGAAUAGACCUAAACAUGACGUGACGCGAUCACGGUCAAGAGAAGUAAUGUGAAGUAAUCAUAUUAUGACCCGAGUGAUGGGUACAAAGUAACUGGACUGAUAAAUCUAGUUAGUGAGAUCGGUUAAGGUCGAAACCCAAAUUAAGAAAUUGUUUAACACGUUAUUCACUACGAAGAGUAAUGUAGAAUAAACAUAAUUUAUAAACCUAUGUGACUAAGUGGCCAACGUUUGGCGACUCGGUCAAGUAAACAACAAAGGUAUAUAGAUCGAAGAGAUAAAGUGACGGCCCAUGAGACCUCACUAACAGAAAAUAUUGAUCACUUAUUUGAGGGAUCAUAAAGCUAUAAGUUCAUGAACAAAAGAAUAGUUGCUAAAAGUGAAAGAUUUCACCAAGGACCUUUAAACGGGUCAAAACGACGGAUUCAUAAAUAAUUUGAUAGUAUAUGAAAGCGAUGAAUAUCGCUAAGUUAACCGGACUAGUGGAAAUAACGAGGUUACGCUAUUUCAAGAUUGCACUAUGUACUAUGAGAUACGUAGACAAUUAGUAACCAAAAGGAUAUUGCCAUACUUUUCUGGUAAUACUAACAAUUAGUCAAAGUAAAAGUAACGUUUAAAAGAUUUCUCGGAUCAAAUGCAUUGAGUUUGAACUCGGUGAAUUAAGCAAGAAAAGGUUUCGAGGACGAAUCCUCUUUAAGGGGGGUAGACUUGUAACACCCCGAAAACAGGUUUGGAAAUUAAACCCCGUUAAUACUAAAGACGGGGAAAGUACCGUUAGCGGUAAAAGUAAACCGGAAAAUAUUAGGAAUCAAGUGAAUAAUCCUAAUAUUGAUUAAAGGUGAAUAAGAGCUUCCAGGAAAAUAGAAUGGAUAAAAGGCCCGAUUUAACGGGACUUAAAAUAAAACGGGUUUUAACUCCCGGAACCCACUAAGUUAACUAGGUAAAAUUAACCUAGUUAGUAAUGAGUAACUAAAAAAUAAACUAUGGGUUAUAGUUUCAUUUAUGAAUCUCUAAACUUGAGGGGCUAAACAUGGGCAACUAGAGAAGUGUUUUAUUAAAACACUU
rnacentral:lncRNA from 1 species